rnacentral:snoRNA from 1 species
CCAACAUGGGUAUACUCGGGCGGUCACUCUCCCGGGCCCUGUCCAAGUAGCGUAGGGGAACACAGGGCUCUGCCCCAUUGUGUACGUCCCCUUUCCACGGCGGGGAGGCGAAGUGGGCCUGGAGUCUGCGCCUGCAGUUUCCUGCAGCUGCUCAGAGUCCUGUGGGCAUGACCGAGGGGACCAGCCCCGCAGGAAACAGCC